UACGGAGGGUGCAAGCGUUAAUCGGAAUUACUGGGCGUAAAGCGCGCGUAGGCGGAUGAUUAAGUCAGAUGUGAAAGCCCUGGGCUCAACCUGGGAACUGCAUUUGAGACUGGUCGUCUAGAGUACAGAAGAGGGGGGUGGAAUUCCAGGUGUAGCGGUGAAAUGCGUAGAUAUCUGGAGGAACAUCAGUGGCGAAGGCGACCCCCUGGUCUGAUACUGACGCUGAGGUGCGAAAGCGUGGGUAGCGAACAGG
rnacentral:misc_RNA from 1 species